GGGUGGAUAGGGAAGGACCAUCAGGUGGGGGUGGGGCUAGGUGUGUCUGAGCUCAGACUCUUUUUGGGUGGGUCCUGCUGAAGCUGUUGUUGGGGAUGGGGGUGACAUUCCCAGGUCACUGGAGUUAUGUACCAGAAGGAUUAAGGCUGCCUCUGCUGAGUCAUGCAGGUUGUCAGGGAAGUCGGAGAAAGCUGACAGUCACUGGCCUCACCCAGCUCCCACGCAAACUGAAGGGCUGGUCUCACUCUCACCAUGCCCCCGUAACCCCAACAGCCCAGAGUCAGUUUUUAGGCGGAGGGUGAGAAUGGCUUGAAAAUUUGCUGAAUGCUAUCCAUCUCCCAGCCCCCAGAGAAAAGGGCUUUAGUUCCUCCCCCUGCCUGUGAAGUCUGCAGGCCAGAUUCGCGCCCUCCCCCGAGUUCUGGCCAGGAGGCUUCUUGCCCUGUUCAAAUGGUUACAAAGUUCAGCUAGAGAAUUCCUUCUCCCUGUAGAGUUUUACCCCCUGCUCCUCUGGCCGCCCUCCGGAUGGAUCUUUGUGCUGCCAGGCAGGAAUGGGCUGCUUGGGGACCCAGUGAGCUCCGAGGGCCUUUCUGCUGCUUCCUGUACCCCUGUAUUUCGCUCGGCUCUCUGACUUGACUCAGCUCCAGGCAUCUACUCCUGGAGAAAGAGCCCAAUGAGAAGUAAUCUCUGAAGCCCAGAUUUCCUAAGGAUGAAGCUUCAGGAGAGGUCUUAUCAAUCCUGACAACAAACUUUUCUCGUCAAUUUAGUUUCAUUUAAUGGAAGUUUUAAAUGUGGAAAGUUCAGAAGGCUAUUAAAAUUGGUUCCAGCUAUCUAAGAUACACACACAACCACACACGCGCACACACGGUAGAGAUAAAUAUGUUCGAA
rnacentral:lncRNA from 1 species